CAUCUAUACAAGAAACAAAAUGACCACAACUCUGUCCAUUCCUCUUACCCUUCUAAAACCCAAUAAUGCGGAUAUGUGCACAAGUGAUUUGAACAUGUUUCUGUGUAGCAAAGACUUUUUCUUGGCCUCCACUGAGCCAUAUGCAAAAAACCUGAAGCUUUUUAAGUGGGAGAAGAAACAGAAGGAAAAGAGAAGGUCACAAACUCCAUCAGGGAAAUUUUCAGAUGAAGAAACAGGAAGUGGAACUGAGCGAAGUCCAAUUUUAUUUGUUAAUAAGGAAGAGGUUGAAAGCAAUGGUUAAAAUUGGAUUUUUAAACUAUCAGUGGAUGCAAUUUAUUCCAUCAUGCUGGUUCCCUGUUUGCCUUCUGUUUAUUACAGGUAAUUGAGAAUUAAUCACAUUUGUUAUUUUUAGCAUGCCCUGAUGUUGUCUGGAGAUGGAAAUGAAACUAUAAAAGCAGGUAAAGAAAAACAAUUUAAAUUCUUUAAGAAAUAUUGUUAAAAUCAGAAUUCUUGGUUUUGUUAGUUACAGAAUACUAGGAGACUUGGGAAAAG
rnacentral:lncRNA from 13 species